rnacentral:rRNA from 1 species
GAUGAACGCUGGCGGCGUGCCUAAUACAUGCAAGUCGAGCGAACGGACGAGAAGCUUGCUUUUCUGAUGUUAGCGGCGGACGGGUGAGUAACACGUGGAUAACCUACCUAUAAGACUGGGAUAACUUCGGGAAACCGGAGCUAAUACCGGAUAAUAUUUUGAACCGCAUGGUUCAAAAGUGAAAGACGGUCUUGCUGUCACUUAUAGAUGGAUCCGCGCUGCAUUAGCUAGUUGGUAAGGUAACGGCUUACCAAGGCAACGAUGCAUAGCCGACCUGAGAGGGUGAUCGGCCACACUGGAACUGAGAUACGGUCCAGACUCCUACGGGAGGCAGCAGUAGGGAAUCUUCCGCAAUGGGCGAAAGCCUGACGGAGCAACGCCGCGUGAGUGAUGAAGGUCUUCGGAUCGUAAAACUCUGUUAUUAGGGAAGAACAUAUGUGUAAGUAACUGUGCACAUCUUGACGGUACCUAAUCAGAAAGCCACGGCUAACUACGU